AACGAACGCUGGCGGCAUGCCUAACACAUGCAAGUCGAACGAGACCUUCGGGUCUAGUGGCGCACGGGUGCGUAACGCGUGGGAACCUGCCCUUAGGUUCGGAAUAACUCCCCGAAAGGGGUGCUAAUACCGGAUAAUGUCUUCGGACCAAAGAUUUAUCGCCUUUGGAUGGGCCCGCGUUGGAUUAGCUAGUUGGUAGGGUAAAAGCCUACCAAGGCGACGAUCCAUAGCUGGUCUGAGAGGAUGAUCAGCCACACUGGGACUGAGACACGGCCCAGACCCCUACGGGAGGCAGCAGUGGGGAAUAUUGGACAAUGGGCGAAAGCCAGAUCCAGCAAUGCCGCGUGAGUGAUGAAGGCCUUAGGGUUGUAAAGCUCUUUUACCCGGGAUGAUAAUGACAGUACCGGGAGAAUAAGCUCCGGCUAACUCCGUG
rnacentral:rRNA from 1 species